rnacentral:rRNA from 1 species
UACGAAGGGGGCUAGCGUUGCUUGGAAUUACUGGGCGUAAAGGGAGCGUAGGCGGACAUUUAAGUCAGGGGUGAAAUCCCGGGGCUCAACCUCGGAAUUGCCUUUGAUACUGGGUGUCUUGAGUAUGAGAGAGGUGUGUGGAACUCCGAGUGUAGAGGUGAAAUUCGUAGAUAUUCGGAAGAACACCAGUGGCGAAGGCGACACACUGGCUCAUUACUGACGCUGAGGCUCGAAAGCGUGGGGAGCAAACAGGAUUAGAUACCCCGGUAGUCC